UACGGGGGGGCAAGCGUUGUUCGGAAUUACUGGGCGUAAAGGGGACGUAGGCGGCCAACUAAGUCCGACGUGAAAUCCCAAGGCUUAACCUUGGAACUGCGUCGGAUACUGGAUGGCUUGAAUUCGGGAGAGGGAUGCAGAAUUCCAGGUGUAGCGGUGAAAUGCGUAGAUAUCUGGAGGAAUACCGGUGGCGAAGGCGGCAUCCUGGACCGACAUUGACGCUGAAAGCCGAAAGCUAGGGAGCAAACGGG
rnacentral:rRNA from 1 species